ACGGAAGGCAGCAGUGGGGAAUAUUGCACAAUGGAGGAAACUCUGAUGCAGCGACGCCGCGUGAGCGAAGAAGUAUUUCGGUAUGUAAAGCUCUAUCAGCAGGGAAGAAAAUGACGGUACCUGACUAAGAAGCCCCGGCUAACUACGUGCCAGCAGCCGCGGUAAUACGUAGGGGGCAAGCGUUAUCCGGAUUUACUGGGUGUAAAGGGAGCGUAGACGGCAAGGCAAGUCUGAUGUGAAAGGUGGGGGCUUAACUCCCAAACUGCAUUGGAAACUGUCUGGCUUGAGUGCCGGAGAGGUAAGCGGAAUUCCUAGUGUAGCGGUGAAAUGCGUAGAUAUUAGGAGGAACACCAGUGGCGAAGGCGGCUUACUGGACGGUAACUGACGUUGAGGCUCGAAAGCGUGGGGAGCAAACAGGAUUAGAUACCCUGGUA
rnacentral:rRNA from 1 species